UACGUAGGGACCAAGCGUUGUUCGGAUUUACUGGGCUUAAAGGGCGCGUAGGCGGCAAUUCAAGUCAGCUGUGAAAUCUCCGGGCUUAACUCAGAACGGUCAGCUGAUACUGCUUUGCUAGAGUGCAGAAGGGGCAAUCGGAAUUCUUGGUGUAGCGGUGAAAUGCGUAGAUAUCAGGAGGAACACCGGUGGCGAAGGCGGGUCUCUGGGCCGAUACUGACGCUGAGGAGCGAAAGCGUGGGGAGCGAACAGG
rnacentral:rRNA from 1 species